rnacentral:lncRNA from 1 species
AAAUACUCUUUCACCUAUUAAUUUUUUCACGUAAUGGGGGUCAAACAAGGGCUCAGUAAAGGUUGCAAAAAGAAAAACUUUGCGAGAAGUUAAGCCUCUAGACAAAUACCAAUGCAAUUCACACUCGCACACGAUAAAACCUCACAAUAACAAAGGCCAAAACUCCCAAGAACUCUUGCGCCUCUCAUGAACCCAGAAGCCACACAACCUAUAAUCCUCGCGCAUCUCAUGAACCCAGAAGCUACAACCCACAAUCCUCGCACUUCACGCUGUGUCCUCACACCUCAAUUGUGUCUUCGUGCCUCAAGUGAUACAUCAAUUUUGAUGCCAAUCGUCAGCCUUACUACUUUCUUCUCCGGUAUGACGCCAAUCGUUGCUAGUUGCUACAGCAAAAAUAUGCAUACUUUGUGGUCGAUUUGAGUGUGCAAUUGAAAGGGGAUCGAUAUGUCGUCCGCGCGUAGUAUUUUCGAAUUCAGCAAUUGGCUAAUUUGAGGAAAAUUGGUGAUGACCCAUAUGUGCAUCUGGUUCACCAUGAUGAGUAGAAGGUAGUGGUGGUGGUGCGCGACCGUGGUUCGUAGCGCUGGAGCCGAAAUUUGGGAGAAAAGAUCCAUGGUUUGCUGCCUUCAUUCAUUUCUCUUGCGUAUAUGAAAUUUAUGCUGAUUUCUCGUAAACUUCUAUUUUCUGUUCAUUUUCUCUUUAUGAAUUAUAUAUUUUACUUGAAUGCUUUUAUUAGUGCCUUUUGUUUUAACAAAUUUAUUUUUUUAUAAGAUGUAUUGCCUUCGAUUGAUUAAGCUUUGAAGUAAAUGUACUGUCAAUAAUGUUGUUUUCUUACUUGUUAUAAUGCUCUAUACACAAUUUCCCUGUAUCUGAAUUUCCAUGGUUAAAUACAAGGUUUUUUUCUUAUUUGUUAUAAUGCUCUAUUCUCCUCUCUUUGUAGCUGUUGGAAUAUCAUAGAUCUUAUAUUUCAAGUGCUUGUAGUUUGAGAGAAUCUCUUUGGUAAAUGAGCUGAUAGAUAAAAGAGCAAGAAUAUUGGUUCUUACAUGUGAAGAUUAGAGAGAAAAAUUGGUCUUUAAUUUUUCUGAUCUAGCACUAGAAGAAAGUAUCUAUUGCUAGGAAGACUGCGUGGGUCUUUAAUGCUAAUUGAUUAAGUAGGUCUUGUUCUAUGAUAUAUGUUUUUGUUUCCGGCAACUUAUUCUCCACCUUCAUUUCUUUAACUUUUUGACAGCAACUGAUGAUUAUGUUAAUAUGUUUGAAGACUCAAGAAUUUUUGGUUCUUGGACGGCAAUUUUUGAUUGAAAAUUUUUAAUUUCCCUUUUGCUGGAACAAUAUGUAUAAUGCUUAGCCAUAUAUGCUAGUACAUAAAUUCCCCUUUUGUUGCAACAAACAUAUGAAGAGACCUUUGUUCCUAGUACUUAAUUAUGAACUCCAUCUCUAUUCUUACUCCUCAUAGUAGUUCUUAUUGAUUUAAUUCAUUUUAGAUUUCCAGGCAUUUGUAUAGCAGUGCUUUGUUACUAAAAAACGCAGUCCAUUUUAUUCUCCUAUUAUCAUUUGAUUUGUAAUUUUUUUUUUUUUAUUAUUUCUUAUCAUUUUUUAUCUUAACUGUUCUUGAGAAUUGAAUUCAAUGACAUGGAUUUUAAAAUCUAUGCAAUGUACUCUGUUAUGGUCAAUUCCAAUAUUGAUGCAGGAUAUCCCUAAUUUUGACAAAUUUCUGUCUCAUCUAACCUAUGACGAGCAACAGCAAUUGCUGAAGAUUUUACCUUCCAUUCAUAUUUCUGCAGAUCCAAAGAGGUUUAUAAUUCUUCACUUACACUUGUUGUAGCUUAUAGUGAUCAAGCAUGACUAAAAUAUCAGUUUAUAGAUAGGUUAACGGAUUGGAAUAACACUAAAACUUUCUGAUAAAUUACACUAGGGAAUUAUUUUCAUAAAUGAAUCAACACACAGACUCAUAUAAUGAGGCUUAUGCUUGAUGUGUUUGGGUUCACAUAAGAUUAAAAUUAUCCUAAUCAUUAAAUUGAUCUGAAGCUUCUGAAAGUGGACAUGUCUCCAUACUACGAGCUUAAGAAAUUGAAGUAGCAUUCUGCAAUACUAAUUUUUGUGAUUUGCAUUAAUCUAAGGCCAGAAAGUUUUGUAGAUUUUUUAUUAUAAGAUGAUUGCAAUUUUUAUGUUCUUUCUAAAUUGUAUUGGUGGGAAUGGAUUUUUAACAUCGUAUUUAUCUUGAUUAAGUUUUAUAAAAAUCAAUAUAUGUUGAACUAUUUAAGUUUAAACUGACAUAAGCGUAACAUGAUUAUAUGCUAACAUGAUUAUAUGCUGAUAAUGUUAUAUCUUGUUACAUCCAGUCUUAUAAGCAUGUUUGAUAGUCCUCAAUUCAAAGAGAAUCUAUCAUCCUUCCAGAAACUUCUUGCAGAAGGAGUUUUUGAUAACUCAUUGUCUUGCGUGAAAAUAGAAGAUUGUAGAACUUUGAAGAAACUUGCUUUAUGCAAUUUGAUAAAAUCGAAGUGGGGGGGAACAAUAUAAUGUACAUAAGGUCGGAACCAAUUACAUAAGAAUUAUCUUGGAUUUGGUAAAAGUAUGCAUGUUGUGGAUUUAAAUAUGUGAUUUUCACAUUUGAAUGCUUCGAUUCCUGUGCUAUAAAGGGUUUAAAAAAGCCAGCAGCUUUCUGACCUUGACUACUGUUUAACAGCAUCAUAACUUAGUCUUUACUCCCAUGUUAUUUUCCUAUUUGAAUGUCUUUAUUUUUUAGUUUGUUUUUGGUUCCUCUGUCACUAUAUCGAAGAUAUUGAUGUCCCAUAAAACUUGGUGACAGAAGUUGUAUUUUUAUUUUCUUCCAACUAUUCCUUGAUAUCUUGCUGGUACCUAUGUCCUAGUAAAAUACGUAUGGCAAUUUGAUGCAUUAUCAUAUUUAUAUCUUCUCUAUUAUCUGUUAUAAAGACACUUGUAAAGAACCAAGGAUCCUCCAUGAUAUGGAUAUAAGUUUACCUUUCAAAUAUUGGGAUAUCUCUUGUAAUGUGUUGGAGUUUUGACUCAUUCACUAAAUAGAAUUUUGGUAAUUUAGAAUAAUGCAGACUCUUAUUGCUAGUAAAGAACAAAUAGUAGAUUCUUUGACAAAAGAAGUGCAGAGACCUUUAUUCCUCUUCAAAGAAGAAAUGAUAAUCCACUUCCUUUUUUUUUUUUUUUUUGCAUAUCUACUUUGGCUUACUAAUUCUUUGAAGAUUGUACUCUACAAAUCAAAACUUUCAAUUCUUUGGAGAUUGUCACUAAUUCUUUGGCUUACUACUGGAUUACUGCAUAAAAAAUAACUUCCAAUUGUUGAGAGCAAUGAGGGUUGGGGUGAGUAGUACAUGACACUAAAGCUUGGUACAAGGAAAUCCUGAAAUAUCAUUAAUUUCAAUAUAAAUUAGAUGAAGAAAAGUUGGUUAUAUUUUUCAAUAGCAUGCUUGAAUUUUUUACAUUAUGUAUUCAAGUGUAUAGGAGAAUAUUGUCUAGCUUCAUAUUAUGUAUUCAAAAAUUUGUAAUGAAAUUAUCAACUUUUAUACAAU